rnacentral:rRNA from 1 species
GACGAACGCUGGCGGCGUGCCUAACACAUGCAAGUCGAACGGAGUUAAGUGCUUCGGUAUUUAACUUAGUGGCGAACGGGUGAGUAACGCGUGAGAAACCUGCCUUUCACUGGGGGAUAACGCAUCGAAAGAUGUGCUAAUACCGCGUAAGACCACAGCAUCGCAUGGUGCAGGGGUCAAAGGAGCAAUCCGGUGGAAGAUGGGCUCGCGUCCGAUUAGCUAGUUGGUGAGAUAACAGCCCACCAAGGCGACGAUCGGUAGCCGACCUGAGAGGGUGAUCGGCCACAUUGGAACUGAGAGACGGUCCAG